AAACCGAGGUCUCCGGGAGAGGAAGUUAUUCUAACUUUUUUGGAAACCCUAGCCGGGCUGGGUUGCUAAAUAGUUGUCAGUAGCGAGGGCGGCGCGCUGAUUGGUCGCCGCGACCGGGGGCAGGACGAGUUCUGGGGCCUCCGCCGGCCGCCCCCGCCCCCCGGCGCGGCACUUUCAGUUUUGCCUCCCCCUUCGGCCCCGGCCGCGGCGGGCACCCGGGACUGCCCGGCCUUCGCGCGCGCCGCCCGCGCCUCCGCCCCGGGCUCUGACCGCUCUCCGGCCGUGCCGCGGGCUCAGCCGAUCCCGCUUUGUCUGCUCCUUAACUGGAGAUCGGGCCCCGCCGAGCUGCGGGGUCUCUCCCGCGGCGCGAGGGGUACGGGAGGCAAGUCCUACCCUAGAUGCGCUCCCAGGAGGGGAUCUUCCCAGUCAUAGCACAACAAGGCUUAAAAGCAUGGUUCCCGCUGUACACGGUGGGUAUGGUGGAGAGAGGGGAGGGAAGGCGUCACUUUUCUGGUGCGGAACCCAGCAGCCCGGGGGGCUGGCAGAGGUGGCGGUGACAGUCGCUCCCUGAUUCCAGCCGGGUUCUGGAGCCAGUUUUCCUGAUACGGUGAGUCAAGGGCUCCACUCUGCACCACAGUUUGCAAGUCAGUCCAAAGCGCUCUACGUAGAAUCUGUCAUCAGUCCCACUGCAA
rnacentral:lncRNA from 1 species